rnacentral:miRNA from 1 species
UGCUUCAUCUACUAGGUUAGCU